rnacentral:rRNA from 1 species
GACAGAGGUGCCAAGCGUUAGGCGGAAUCACUGGGCUUAAAGCGUGUGUAGGCGGAUGCCUAAGUACCUUGUGAAAAUCCCACGGCUCAACCGUGGAACUGCUGGGGUAUACUGGGUGUCUUGGGGUCAGCUAGGGGGUUGCCGGAACAAAUGGUGGAGCGGUGAAAAUGCGUAGAUAUCAUUUGGAACGCCAAUGGCGAAAGCAGGCAACUGGGGGCUGUACCGACGUGAGACACGAAAAGCCAGGGGGAGCGAAACGGGG